rnacentral:rRNA from 1 species
GACGAACGCUGGCGGCGUGGAUUAGGCAUGCAAGUCGAACGGUAUCAUCCUUUCGGGGGUGAGAGAGUGGCGAACUGGUGAGUAACACGUAGGUUAUCUACCCUCAAGACGGGGACAACCCAGGGAAACUUGGGCUAAUACCGGAUGUGAGCAACUUUUAGUUGUUUGAAAGGUGGCGUAAGCUGUCGCUUGGGGAUGAGCCUGCGUCCUAUUAGUUAGUUGGUGAGGUAACGGCUCACCUAGGCAAUGAUAGGUAGGCGGCCUUAACGGGUGGUCGCCCACACUGGGAUUGAGAUACGGCCCAGACUCCUACGGGAGGCAGCAGUCGAGAAUAGUCUACAAUGGUCGGAAGACUGAUAGUGCGACGCCGCGUGAACGAUGAAUCCCUUCGGGGUGCAAAGUUCUUUUAUAUGUGAGCAGUGCUUCUUAUAUUAACAGUAUGGGGAGAGAGAUAUUAGCAUAUGAAUAAGCAACGGCUAACUCCGUGCCAGCAGCCGCGGUAA